rnacentral:rRNA from 1 species
UACAGAGGGUGCAAACGUUGCUCGGAAUCAUUGGGCGUAAAGCGCACGUAGGCGGUCCCGCAAGUCCGCUGUGAAAGCCCCGGGCUUAACCUGGGAAUGGCAGUGGAAACUAUGGGACUUGAAUCUGGCAGAGGGGGGUGGAAUGCCACGUGUAGCAGUGAAAUGCGUAGAGAUGUGGCGGAACACCGAUGGCGAAGGCAGCCCCCUGGGCUGAGAUUGACGCUCAUGCACGAAAGCGUGGGGAGCAAACAGG